UUUUAUAUAGUUUAUUAAAAUAUUAUAUUUUCAAUAUAAAGAUAAUUAUUACAUAAUUUAUAAAAA
rnacentral:tRNA from 1 species